AUGAAAAGGAGUGGACCCAGUGAAUGGACUAUUUCCACAGAAACAAUUUUCUUACUCACGUCUUUGGAGGAUACUUUUAAUGAGUAUGAUUAUUGUGUAUGAGUAUUGCUUUUCUUUGCUCCUCAGUUGAAAGCAAAGGGACUGUGUUGCUAUUUUGCCUUCAAGUCUCCGUUCCCUGCAUCUUGUUAUCCAUCGCCUUCGCCAUAUGGGGUAAAAUUGAAAGCUCUGUUGGAGAGGCCUAUGUUUGCAGUACUAUAAAUCUUGUGAGGAUCCUCGUGAUAUUUAAGGUGGCUCCAUAUGUACUUGGUGCAAGAGACAAGGACGUCCCAGACCCAGCCAAAACUGGAAGGGGACCUGGCAGACAUCAACCCCAAAAACGAACAUGUUACGAGAGACUCACAAACGUGGCACUGCCUUUGGACGCUUGUCUCGUUAGAACAGGGAUUAAUUCUGUUCUUCUCCAUUCCGUUUUGACAUACCAUGCCCAAGAUGUAGUAAGAAAACUAUUUUCCGAAUUCAUGUUUGCAGUUGUGGUAUUGUUCGAUUUAUCAGCAGUUUUUUCUUCAGAUUUAAUUGGGAAAGUCAUUGAAGUGCUUAAGUACACUCUUAGGACUACUAUCUACACUCUAUUUCUGCACAUCUUUUUAGAAAAUAAUAAAGGUAUGUAAUUAUUUGUUGUUGACAUGAA